rnacentral:rRNA from 1 species
CAGCAGCCACGGUAAUACGUAGGUGGCAAGCGUCGUCCGGAAUUAUUGGGCGUAAAGGGCUCGCAGGCGGUUUCUUAAGUCUGAUGUGAAAGCCCCCGGCUCAACCGGGGAGGGUCAUUGGAAACUGGGAAACUUGAGUGCAGAAGAGGAGAGUGGAAUUCCACGUGUAGCGGUGAAAUGCGUAGAGAUGUGGAGGAACACCAGUGGCGAAGGCGACUCUCUGGUCUGUAACUGACGCUGAGGAGCGAAAGCGUGGGGAGCGAACAGGAUUAGAUACCCGUGUAGUCCCUGUCUCUUAUAC